AAGAGAACUGAGGGUAAGGAAAUGACAGCUUUUUUUAAACUACCCACCCAGCGUCCUUGAUGAGAUCCAGGAAAGCGUGGAACUUGCUGAAUGAGCGCUCAAUGCUCUCAAGAACGUCCUCGUUUUCAAGCGUGCUGUGUUCUGAACCCGUGGCUGAGAGUGCCUCCGACAGGGUACGAUUGUUGUCGCGAAGACGAGCAUUCUCCAGCUCAAACUGAAUAAAAGUGGUAUAGCUCGGUUGGUGGAGUGGCCGUGCCAGCGACUUGAGGGUUCCAGGUUCGAUCCCCGCUUCCGCCAUCCUAUCCACUGCCGUUGUGUCCUUGGGCGGCCGCGUCGGGCAGGGGACUGGAGGCGGUGCUGUCCCAGCGGGUGGAGGGCGUCGACUGCCCCCUAUUAUACAUCAGCCGGAAGCUCUCGGACCGGGAGGCGAGGUACAGCACAGUGGAGAGGGAGUGCCCCGCCAUCCGGUGGGCGGUCGGGGCCCUUCGGUACUACCUGCUGGGGCACGCCUUCAGCCUCUGCUCGGACCACAAACAACUCCAGUGGCUCCACCGCAUGAGGGAAGCCAACGCGAGGAUCACCAGGUGGUACCUCGCGUUGCAACCUUACAACUCCCAGGUGGUCCACUGGCCGGUACUCAAAGCGCUUUGACACUACUUCCACAUUUACCCAUUCACACACACAUUCACACACUGAUGGAGGCAGCUGCCAUGCAAGGCGCUAACCAGCACCCAUCAGGAGCAAGGGUGAAGUGUCUUGCUCAGGACACAACGGACGUGACAAGGUUGGUACUAGGUGGGAAUUGAACCAGGGACCCUCGGGAUGCGCACAGCCACUCUUCCACUGCACCACGCCGUCCCUAAAAGCAGCGAGAGGGAGCCCGGAAGCGAGAGGAAGCCCAGAGAGACUCAGGGAGACGAGAGGGACUCAGUAGAAAGUGCACGAAAAUAAAAACUCUGUAAACGUCUGGUAUUCAAGCCUUAUCCUUCCUUGUCACCAAGAUCCCGCAACCAGAAUGUGGUACAAUAUAUUUUUAUCUUUUUUUUUUUUCACUCCUGUAGAUUUUAUUGGACUUAGAACAUCAUGACAAGUGGGGCUGUCACUUGUCACCUGAAGUGACAUCAAACAACAGGAGAUGCCAGUAUUAGCUGCUCUUUGCCAAUAUGUUAAUUCAACUUGGAAAUUCUGAUUAAAAUCAUGGUUUUCGCUGUUGAAAAACAUUUUAA